rnacentral:misc_RNA from 1 species
UCUCCGUUGGUGAACCAGCGGAGGGAUCAUUGAAGAGUCUCGGCUCCAAACCACGCGAACCUACCAGUCGUUGCCUCGGCGGGCGCGCCCGCCGACGGCCCACCGAACCCUGUCGUAUCUAGGCCCUCUGAGCGACCGCGAGAGCGGGCAGACAAUCAAAACUUUCAACAAUGGAUCUCUUGGCUCUGGCAUCGAUGAAGAACGCAGC